rnacentral:rRNA from 3 species
AGCGUACACGGUGGAUGCCCUGGCAGUCAGAGGCGAUGAAGGACGUGCUAAUCUGCGAUAAGCGUCGGUGAGGUGAUAUGAACCGUUAUAACCGGCGAUUUCCGAAUGGGGAAACCCAGUGUGUUUCGACACACUAUCAUUAACUGAAUCCAUAGGUUAAUGAGGCGAACCGGGGGAACUGAAACAUCUAAGUACCCCGAGGAAAAGAAAUCAACCGAGAUUCCCCCAGUAGCGGCGAGCGAACGGGGAGGAGCCCAGAGCCUGAAUCAGUGUGUGUGUUAGUGGAAGCGUCUGGAAAGGCGCGCGAUACAGGGUGACAGCCCCGUACACAAAAAUGCACAUACUGUGAGCUCGAUGAGUAGGGCGGGACACGUGGUAUCCUGUCUGAAUAUGGGGGGACCAUCCUCCAAGGCUAAAUACUCCUGACUGACCGAUAGUGAACCAGUACCGUGAGGGAAAGGCGAAAAGAACCCCGGCGAGGGGAGUGAAAAAGAACCUGAAACCGUGUACGUACAAGCAGUGGGAGCCUCUUAAUGGGGUGACUGCGUACCUUUUGUAUAAUGGGUCAGCGACUUAUAUUCUGUAGCAAGGUUAACCGAAUAGGGGAGCCGAAGGGAAACCGAGUCUUAACUGGGCGUUAAGUUGCAGGGUAUAGACCCGAAACCCGGUGAUCUAGCCAUGGGCAGGUUGAAGGUUGGGUAACACUAACUGGAGGACCGAACCGACUAAUGUUGAAAAAUUAGCGGAUGACUUGUGGCUGGGGGUGAAAGGCCAAUCAAACCGGGAGAUAGCUGGUUCUCCCCGAAAGCUAUUUAGGUAGCGCCUCGUGAAUUCAUCUCCGGGGGUAGAGCACUGUUUCGGCAAGGGGGUCAUCCCGACUUACCAACCCGAUGCAAACUGCGAAUACCGGAGAAUGUUAUCACGGGAGACACACGGCGGGUGCUAACGUCCGUCGUGAAGAGGGAAACAACCCAGACCGCCAGCUAAGGUCCCAAAGUCAUGGUUAAGUGGGAAACGAUGUGGGAAGGCCCAGACAGCCAGGAUGUUGGCUUAGAAGCAGCCAUCAUUUAAAGAAAGCGUAAUAGCUCACUGGUCGAGUCGGCCUGCGCGGAAGAUGUAACGGGGCUAAACCAUGCACCGAAGCUGCGGCAGCGACACUAUGUGUUGUUGGGUAGGGGAGCGUUCUGUAAGCCUGUGAAGGUGGCCUGUGAGGGUUGCUGGAGGUAUCAGAAGUGCGAAUGCUGACAUAAGUAACGAUAAAGCGGGUGAAAAGCCCGCUCGCCGGAAGACCAAGGGUUCCUGUCCAACGUUAAUCGGGGCAGGGUGAGUCGACCCCUAAGGCGAGGCCGAAAGGCGUAGUCGAUGGGAAACAGGUUAAUAUUCCUGUACUUGGUGUUACUGCGAAGGGGGGACGGAGAAGGCUAUGUUGGCCGGGCGACGGUUGUCCCGGUUUAAGCGUGUAGGCUGGUUUUCCAGGCAAAUCCGGAAAACCAAGGCUGAGGCGUGAUGACGAGGCACUACGGUGCUGAAGCGACAAAUGCCCUGCUUCCAGGAAAAGCCUCUAAGCAUCAGGUAACAUCAAAUCGUACCCCAAACCGACACAGGUGGUCAGGUAGAGAAUACCAAGGCGCUUGAGAGAACUCGGGUGAAGGAACUAGGCAAAAUGGUGCCGUAACUUCGGGAGAAGGCACGCUGAUAUGUAGGUGAAGCGACUUGCUCGUGGAGCUGAAAUCAGUCGAAGAUACCAGCUGGCUGCAACUGUUUAUUAAAAACACAGCACUGUGCAAACACGAAAGUGGACGUAUACGGUGUGACGCCUGCCCGGUGCCGGAAGGUUAAUUGAUGGGGUUAGCGGCAACGCGAAGCUCUUGAUCGAAGCCCCGGUAAACGGCGGCCGUAACUAUAACGGUCCUAAGGUAGCGAAAUUCCUUGUCGGGUAAGUUCCGACCUGCACGAAUGGCGUAAUGAUGGCCAGGCUGUCUCCACCCGAGACUCAGUGAAAUUGAACUCGCUGUGAAGAUGCAGUGUACCCGCGGCAAGACGGAAAGACCCCGUGAACCUUUACUAUAGCUUGACACUGAACAUUGAGCCUUGAUGUGUAGGAUAGGUGGGAGGCUUUGAAGUGUGGACGCCAGUCUGCAUGGAGCCGACCUUGAAAUACCACCCUUUAAUGUUUGAUGUUCUAACGUUGGCCCGUAAUCCGGGUUGCGGACAGUGUCUGGUGGGUAGUUUGACUGGGGCGGUCUCCUCCUAAAGAGUAACGGAGGAGCACGAAGGUUGGCUAAUCCUGGUCGGACAUCAGGAGGUUAGUGCAAUGGCAUAAGCCAGCUUGACUGCGAGCGUGACGGCGCGAGCAGGUGCGAAAGCAGGUCAUAGUGAUCCGGUGGUUCUGAAUGGAAGGGCCAUCGCUCAACGGAUAAAAGGUACUCCGGGGAUAACAGGCUGAUACCGCCCAAGAGUUCAUAUCGACGGCGGUGUUUGGCACCUCGAUGUCGGCUCAUCACAUCCUGGGGCUGAAGUAGGUCCCAAGGGUAUGGCUGUUCGCCAUUUAAAGUGGUACGCGAGCUGGGUUUAGAACGUCGUGAGACAGUUCGGUCCCUAUCUGCCGUGGGCGCUGGAGAACUGAGGGGGGCUGCUCCUAGUACGAGAGGACCGGAGUGGACGCAUCACUGGUGUUCGGGUUGUCAUGCCAAUGGCACUGCCCGGUAGCUAAAUGCGGAAGAGAUAAGUGCUGAAAGCAUCUAAGCACGAAACUUGCCCCGAGAUGAGUUCU